rnacentral:rRNA from 1 species
AACGAACGCUGGCGGCAUGCCUAACACAUGCAAGUCGAACGAUGGUCUUCGGAUCAUAGUGGCGCACGGGUGCGUAACGCGUGGGAAUCUGCCCUUGGGUUCGGAAUAACAGUUGGAAACGACUGCUAAUACCGGAUGAUGUCGAUAAGACCAAAGAUUUAUCGCCCGAGGAUGAGCCCGCGUCGGAUUAGCUAGUUGGUGGGGUAAAGGCCUACCAAGGCGACGAUCCGUAGCUGGUCUGAGAGGAUGAUCAGCCACACUGGGACUGAGACACGGCCCAGACUCCUACGGGAGGAAGCAGUGGGGAAUAUUGGACAAUGGGCGCAAGCCUGAUCCAGCAAUGCCGCGUGAGUGAUGAAGGCCUUAGGGUUGUAAAGCUCUUUUACCCGGGAAGAUAAUGACUGUACCGGGAGAAUAAGCCCCGGCUAACUCCGUG